rnacentral:lncRNA from 1 species
GGACCUAAUAAUAUCUGUUAGGGGAGAGUCAGUUAGAGGAGGGAGAGAAUGAGUGUUAUGAGGUGUGAAGAGUUUCUAUUUUAUUAGGAUUGGGAAAUCAUUUAUAGAGGACAUGUCAGAAUUAGAAAUUGAAAUUGGAGUCAAGAAAGCCUUUCUCUGAUUAGGGGGAGCAUUGCUCUCAUUCCUUUGCCUAUUCUUCCUCUUUCUAUGUUAUUCCUUUGUUUUCUGCACGAACCUAUGAUACAAAUUGUAUCAUUGGUGCUUUUGUUGAGAGUUUCUAAUUCGUAUGUAUGCAAACCUGCAUGACAUCCCAAAACCUUGAUAAUGUUGAAUCCAAAAUUACUUCCAUCGAAACCCUCCUCCAUUCCCACGAUAUUCGAUAAGGUGGCUCACGAAGGCAGAAACCUAUUUCUUAGUCCGCAACACCCCACCAGAGUUGUAAAUCCAGCUUGCUCAUAUCUCCAUGAACGAGAUGACAUGGCAUUGGUUCAAGGUUUUGAGUGACUCUGAUCCUCACUUGACUUAGGCCACUUUCAAACGUGCACUGUUAGAACAUUACGACUACAAUCAAUUGGGCAAUCCGUUCUCUUUACCCAAGCUGCUUCACCAAAGAACCAC